rnacentral:rRNA from 1 species
GAUGAACGCUGGCGGCGUGCCUAAUACAUGCAAGUCGAGCGAAAAGACGAGGAGCUUGCUCCUCUGACGUUAGCGGAGGACGGGUGAAUAACACGUGGAUAACCUCCCUAUAAGACUGGGAUAACUUCGGGAAAGCGGAGCUAAUCCGAGAGAAUCUAUUGAACCGCAUGGUUCAUUGGUGAAAGACGGUUUUUCUGGAACUACUCGCUGGUUCCGCGCCGCAUUAGCUAGUUGGGAAGGUAACGGCUUACCAAGGCAACGAGGCGUAGCCGACCUCAGAGGGUGAUCGCCCACACGGGAACGUAGACGCGGUCCAGAGGACUACGAGAGGCAGCAGUAGGGUAUCUUCGGCAGUGGGCGAAAGCUUGACGGAGCAACGCCGCGUGAGUGAUGAAGAUCUUCGGAGCGGAAAGCCCUGUUAUUAGGUAAGAACAAAUGUGUACUUAGCUAUGCACGGCGUGACGGUACCGAAUCAGAAAGCACCGGCUAACUACGUG